GCGGACGUGGUGGAAUUGGCACAACAGACUUAAAAUCUGUCGAGCGUAAGCUCAUGCGGGUUCAAGUCCCGCCGUCCGCACCA
rnacentral:tRNA from 1 species